rnacentral:lncRNA from 1 species
UUUAUUAUUUUCUUUUUCAGUGAAUCAUUUACUUAAUAAUUUCUUUGUUACUUUUGGCAAUCAACCAUUUAUUUUGCAUAAGCUUUAUGUUUUCUAGAAUAUUUCUUAUUUUCUUUAAUUAGCUUUAUUAUUUCUUCUACAAAUAAUUAAGUACAAUUAUUUUUCUAUACCAUUUAUUACUUAAUUCUUUAAUUAGUUUUAUUAUUUAUCCCACAACUAUUCUUUUAUGCAUCUAUGUGAUUUGUAUUAAUUCUAGAAUUUUUGUUCAAAUUAAUUCAUAACGUAUCGAAUUAAUUAUAUGAAGUAGGCAUAAACAUUUUGCCCUUCAUAUAAUAUUAAUUGAAGAAAAUAAAAAAAUGGUAAAAAGGUGGAGUAAACAAAUUAACAUUAUAAUAUGAGGGAAGUUUGGAUAGACAAAAUAAAAAGGGGGGAUAGUCUGUCAGACAACCCUGUGACCAUCCCUAGUUAUUAUGAUGACUGGGGAACGAUCCUCUACAGCUAAAGGCAUGCUUGAUCCAGAGAUGAAACACACCUAACCAUCAAUCACGCUCUGAUCACAGGGCCAUAAUUCAUCCACCAGACUUUAGUUCCUGUCUCCUUAGAACUCAAGGAUACAGAGGUACGAGCCUAUAGAACAGAUCCUGUUCAAGUAAGGUCGUGACCAAGUACAUUAUGUGUUCCUUUAUAAAUCUGUUCUGUUUUUAUAAAUUUUUCAAUGUGGGACUAUGUUAGCUGUUGC